rnacentral:rRNA from 1 species
UACGUAGGGCGCAAGCGUUGUCCGGAAUUAUUGGGCGUAAAGAGCUCGUAGGUGGCGUGUCGCGUCUGCCGUGAAAGCCCAUGGCUUAACUGUGGGUCUGCGGUGGAUACGGGCAGGCUAGAGGCUGGUAGGGCCAAGCGGAAUUCCUGGUGUAGCGGUGAAAUGCGCAGAUAUCAGGAGGAACACCGGUGGCGAAGGCGGCUUGCUGGGCCAGUUCUGACGCUGAGGAGCGAAAGCUAGGGGAGCAAACGGG